UGGGAAACUCCGUUUGCUGCUAACCAGGACGUCUGCCUCAAACUGAGGCCCAGGUGUUGGAUGUUCCCCAGCGUGGAGAAUCCCAGCACUUGGUUGUUUGCCGCGCUGCCCCGGAUUUAUUUAUUUUAGAGAAAGCGCACAUGGUGGGGAGGGGCAGAGGGAGAAAGAAUCUGAAGCAGACUCCCCGCUGAGUGCAGAGCCCCGACAAGGGGCUAGAUCCCAUGACCCUGAGAUCAUGACCUGAGCCGAAACCAAGAGUUAGACGCUCAGCCACUGAGCCACCCAAGUGCCCCCAAUGGGGAUUCUUCACAGAUAAUGUGUUCAAGGUCAGUGGGAAGCUUUUGCAGACUUUUGUACAGAGGAAGUACUUGUUUGGAAGAUGAAUUUGUGAAGGUUAGAUGGUGAAAUUGGGAGAAGUUCAAAGACUGGGAGAAGUGAAAUCCACUAGAAGGCAAAUUUAGACAGGAAUGAUUGUGGCAGUAAAUGCAGAAGCAAAUGGGCAGAUAAAGAUUCCCCUUUAAAGGAAGAAGCAGUAAGACUUGGUAAAUUAAUAUUACGGCAGAGGGUUGGGGUCUCAGAGGGUAAUAUGGGAAGAAGAAAAAUUUGCAAAGGUGAAAUGAGGUUUUCUGCCUGGGAGAAGAUGAUGCCAUACCAGAAGUCACGCUGCUCAAGGGAGGAGCAGAAGGUAUGACGAGCAGCACAUUGUCGUGUUUAAAGAGCUGUAGACAGGAGUAGGAUUUUUAAAGCAAAAUAGCCAAUAUUUAAUAUGCACACAGUGCACAGAGCUGCUAAUGAUGUAAUGGAUGAAUUUUAGGUCACUUCCAUUCCAUUCCAUUCACUAUGCGUUUAGCAUAGCGCUGAGAAGUGACCAGCGGGUGCCCCGAACGUGGUGGGUUCGUGAUGCUGCCGUGCGGUGCGGUGUGGCGGUGUGCCAAUCCCCGCGGUGGCUCUGCGUUGCGGUUCGGUCCCGUGCGGCGCGGUCUGGUGGCCGUGCAGCUCGGUGGCGUGGCCAGACCAGCCCCCGGGCUCUAAGAGGUGAGAGGGUGGCAUGAGCGUGCAGAGGAGGAAGGGGAGUGUGGUGCUUUGAAAAGGGGGGCGUGCUUUCCGACCCCGCCGCUGUUUGAUGUUCUGGAGACAGAGUGAAGGAGGCCGCGAGUCUGGCAGGGGCGAAGGAGUAGCUGUGUGCGAAUCACAGGACAGGGCUGGUGCGGACCGCCGGGUCCUGAGCGAGGGCUUCGUCCGGGGCACCUUGACCCCGCGACUGAGCGGCCUGUUCAAGAUGACUGGGUCAAAUACGUAGGUCAUUAGAAUCUAAGUGUGUUUUGUUUUGUUUUUGUUUGAGUAAAAUUGGGGAAAAUCUAGUGAGAAUAUUUACGUAAUUUAGAAAGAGUUAAAAACAUCAGUAUUGUGUAGUGGUUUUCAAUGCUAAAAUGCUGUUGAGGCUUAGUAGUGUAUUUAUGUUUUAGUUUAAACUAUGUUUUAAUCUUAAACUGUGAAAUA